rnacentral:tRNA from 1 species
GAGAUAAAAUUUUUAAGCUUCUAACUUUAAUUUAUAUGAAAUUCAUAUUUAUCUCU